GACGAAGGUGGCGAGCGUUGUUCGGAAUCACUGGGCAUAAAGCGCACGCAGGCGGCCUUGUAAGUCGGAUGUGAAAUCCCUCGGCCCAACCGAGGAACUGCGUCCGAUACUGCAGGGCUUGAGAUCGGGAGGGGUGCAUGGAAUUCCGGGUGGAGCGGUGAAAUGCGUUGAUAUCCGGAGGAACACCGGCGGCGAAAGCGAUGCACUGGUCCGAUUCUGACGCUCAGGUGCGAAAGCCAGGGUAGCAAACGGG
rnacentral:misc_RNA from 1 species